rnacentral:rRNA from 1 species
GGGUUGUGAGGUUAAGCGACUAAGCGUACACGGUGGAUGCCCUGGCAGUCAGAGGCGAUGAAGGGCGUGCUAAUCUGCGAUAAGCGCCGGUAAGGUGAUAUGAACCGUUAUAACCGGCGAUACCCGAAUGGGGAAACCCAGUGUGACUCGUCACACUAUCAUUAACUGAAUCCAUAGGUUAAUGAGGCGAACCGGGGGAACUGAAACAUCUAAGUACCCCGAGGAAAAGAAAUCAACCGAGAUUCCCCCAGUAGCGGCGAGCGAACGGGGAGGAGCCCAGAGCCUGAAUCAGCAUGUGUGUUAGUGGAAGCGUCUGGAAAGGCGCGCGAUACAGGGUGACAGCCCCGUACACAAAAGCGCAUGUGCUGUGAGCUCGAUGAGUAGGGCGGGACACGUGGUAUCCUGUCUGAAUAUGGGGGGACCAUCCUCCAAGGCUAAAUACUCCUGACUGACCGAUAGUGAACCAGUACCGUGAGGGAAAGGCGAAAAGAACCCCGGCGAGGGGAGUGAAAAAGAACCUGAAACCGUGUACGUACAAGCAGUGGGAGCACAGGUUUACCUGUGUGACUGCGUACCUUUUGUAUAAUGGGUCAGCGACUUAUAUUCUGUAGCAAGGUUAACCGAAUAGGGGAGCCGGAGGGAAACCGAGUCUUAAUUGGGCGUUAAGUUGCAGGGUAUAGACCCGAAACCCGGUGAUCUAGCCAUGGGCAGGUUGAAGGUUGGGUAACACUAACUGGAGGACCGAACCGACUAAUGUUGAAAAAUUAGCGGAUGACCUGUGGCUGGGGGUGAAAGGCCAAUCAAACCGGGAGAUAGCUGGUUCUCCCCGAAAGCUAUUUAGGUAGCGCCUCGUGAAUUCAUCUCCGGGGGUAGAGCACUGUUUCGGCUAGGGGGCCAUCCCGGCUUACCAACCCGAUGCAAACUGCGAAUACCGGAGAAUGUUAUCACGGGAGACACACGGCGGGUGCUAACGUCCGUCGUGAAGAGGGAAACAACCCAGACCGCCAGCUAAGGUCCCAAAGUCAUGGUUAAGUGGGAAACGAUGUGGGAAGGCCCAGACAGCCAGGAUGUUGGCUUAGAAGCAGCCAUCAUUUAAAGAAAGCGUAAUAGCUCACUGGUCGAGUCGGCCUGCGCGGAAGAUGUAACGGGGCUAAACCAUGCACCGAAGCUGCGGCAGCGACACUGUGUGUUGUUGGGUAGGGGAGCGUUCUGUAAGCCUGUGAAGGUGGCCUGUGAGGGUUGCUGGAGGUAUCAGAAGUGCGAAUGCUGACAUAAGUAACGAUAAAGCGGGUGAAAAGCCCGCUCGCCGGAAGACCAAGGGUUCCUGUCCAACGUUAAUCGGGGCAGGGUGAGUCGACCCCUAAGGCGAGGCCGAAAGGCGUAGUCGAUGGGAAACAGGUUAAUAUUCCUGUACUUGGUGUUACUGCGAAGGGGGGACGGAGAAGGCUAUGUUGGCCGGGCGACGGUUGUCCCGGUUUAAGCGUGUAGGCUGGUUUUCCAGGCAAAUCCGGAAAAUCAAGGCUGAGGCGUGAUGACGAGG